CUAUCCUGUAAAAUUUAGCUAUAGGAAGCAAUUUUAGAAUUACAGAGUUUUAAAUUGGAAUGAUCUUGGAGAUAAUUCUUUUAUAGUUAAAGAAAUCAAAACCCAGAUGAAUCUUUAUUUCUCAAGGUCACAGCAUAGAACACUGCACAAUAGAAUGAUUUCGUCUUUUAUGAUUUUAAUCCCAUUAGAGAUUUUAACAUUUGAAGUUAUAUGUGAUAUGGAUGUAACAGAGUAAAGAAUAGUUUGAAAGCAGACAUGAUGUUCCAAUCUUUCAAGUACAUGUUAUGUGGGAGACAAUCUCUAAGGGUUAGUCAUCUGGAAAUAAGGUCUAGAAUUAAUAUCUGUAACCAGGUCCUUUCACUGGAUUCCUAACCAGUCUUCUAAUUUUGUUUAUUAUUUCCUAGAUAUGUCAGCAACCAAGUCACUUUUCAAUUUUGAAAAAUAACUGCAUACCUUUGAUAGAAAAUGUGUUUUUUCACUGUAUUAGAAAGAGAAACUAAGAUAUAUAAUAGAUGUCAGUGUCUAGUUAUGUUUCACACUGGGUAAAAGCUACAUUGGGUAAACAUUUAUACAUAUAACAGACUGGAUCUUGGGGCAACAAAAUGUACUGAAGAAAAUUAAGUCUGAAAUUGAUGUUAGUAUCAAACUCUUCAACCAGGUUACUGGAGAAAAUGAAAAUAUUUUCUUACUAUUUACUCUACUCUUCUGUAAGGGAGAGGGAACAUAUCUCUCUCAAAGUCCUCUACAAGGACUUUGAUUCCAUUUCUAAAGAGGGAAUAGCAUUGGUGUAAACCUUCCAGCUUACACUGUUACAUUUUUUCUGGGGAAAGUCCAGUGUACAUGGUCCCUCCAUUGGCUGUUGGUUAUAGUGCUUUUAAGAUGCAUGCAUUGCCUCUCUCUCUAUCCAGGUGGCAAACAAAUGACUCCAAGGUCACAAUUUGGGGGAACAUUAUGGGAGAACUAAACAACCAGAAGUCACAUAUUUGGGAAGAAUUUCUGAAUUUUAAACCCAGUCCCUAAAGACAAGAGCUAAAGCCUACCAUUGGAGAUGAGGUACAUGCAGGGGAAUCAUUAUAAAUAUGGCAGUUUUCAUGUUUCUCUCUUCUUUUGUUGUCUUUUUACUUCAGAAAGUUGAAAAAUGUUGAGUUCAUUAGGGAUGACUUUCAUGUGGUUACCUUCUGUUGUAAUAAAAAAAAUCAUAAAAUGGAAAGCCGUCUUUAG
ensembl:lncRNA